AUGGGGGCAACCCUGAUCCAGCAAUGCCGCGUGUGUGAAGAAGGCCUUCGGGUUGUAAAGCACUUUUGUCCGGAAAGAAAUCGCACUUACUAAUAUUAGGUGUGGAUGACGGUACCGGAAGAAUAAGGACCGGCUAACUACGUGCCAGCAGCCGCGGUAAUACGUAGGGUCCAAGCGUUAAUCGGAAUUACUGGGCGUAAAGCGUGCGCAGGCGGUUGUGCAAGACCGAUGUGAAAUCCCCGGGCUUAACCUGGGAAUUGCAUUGGUGACUGCACGGCUAGAGUGUGUCAGAGGGGGGUAGAAUUCCACGUGUAGCAGUGAAAUGCGUAGAGAUGUGGAGGAAUACCGAUGGCGAAGGCAGCCCCCUGGGAUAACACUGACGCUCAUGCACGAAAGCGUGGGG
rnacentral:rRNA from 1 species